rfam:Felis catus isolate Cinnamon breed Abyssinian chromosome E2, whole genome shotgun sequence.
ACCUGGGUGGCUCAGUCGGUUGAGCAUCCGACUUUGGCUCAGGUCGUGAUCUCAUAGUUUGUGGGUUCGAGCCCCGCAUCAGGCU